rnacentral:sRNA from 1 species
UAUUCUGCCCURCGGGGAAGGAUGAGAAGCUUCGACUAAGGUUCGACUCGAGCGCCAGCGAGAGAACGUUGCCGCAGGCAACGGCCCGAAGGGCGAGGCGCUUUAGCGCCGAGUAAUCCUUCCCCCAC